ACUCAAAGGAAUUGACGGGGGCCCGCACAAGCGGUGGAGCAUGUGGUUCAAUUCGACGCAACGCGAAGAACCUUACCCAGGCUUGAACAGCGAGUGACCAUUUCCGAAAGGAAACUUCCGCAAGGACGCUCGUAGAGGUGCUGCAUGGCUGUCGUCAGCUCGUGUCGUGAGAUGUUGGGUUAAGUCCCGCAACGAGCGCAACCCUUGUCUGCUGUUGCCAUCAGGUUAUGCUGGGCACUCUGCAGAGACUGCCGGUGAUAAACCGGAGGAAGGUGGGGAUGACGUCAAGUCAGCAUGGCCUUUAUGUCUGGGGCUACACACGUGCUACAAUGGCCGGUACAAACCGUUGCGAUACUGCAAAGUGGAGCUAAUCGGAGAAAAGCCGGUCUCAGUUCGGAUAGCAGGCUGCAACUCGCCUGCUUGAAGUUGGAAUCGCUAGUAAUCGCGGAUCAGCACGCCGCGGUGAAUACGUUCCCGGGCCUUGUACACACCGCCCGU
rnacentral:rRNA from 1 species